rnacentral:rRNA from 1 species
AUCGAACGCUGGCGGCAGGCCUAACACAUGCAAGUCGAGCGAGCGGCGGACGGGUGAGUAAUGCCUGGGCGUUGCCCAGUCGAGGGGGAUAACAGUUGGAAACGACUGCUAAUACCGCAUAGGACUGGCUUGCUCAGGGUGGAUUAGCUAGUUUGUGAGGUAAUGGCUCACCAAGGCGACGGUCCCUAGCUGGUCUGAGAGGAUGAUCAGCCACACUGGAACUGAGACACGGUCCAGACUCCUACGGGAGGCAGCAGUGGGGAAUAUUGCGCAAUGGGGGAAACCCUGAUGCAGCCAUGCCGCGUGUGUGAAGAAGGCCUUCGGGUUGUAAAGCACUUUCAGCGAGGAGGCGUUACUCGCAGAAGAAGCACCGGCUAACUCCGUGCCAGCAGCCGCGGUAAUAC